rnacentral:rRNA from 1 species
ACCGGCGCACGGGUGCGUAACGCGUAUCCAAUCUACCCAUGGCUGGGGAUAGCCUUCUGAAAGGAAGAUUAAUACCUAUGGCGAUGGAUGAGGAUGCGACUGAUUAGAUAGUUGGCGGGGUAACGGCCCACCAAGUCUUCGAUCAGUAGGGGUUCUGAGAGGAAGGUCCCCCACACUGGAACUGAGACACGGUCCAGACUCCUACGGGAGGCAGCAGUGAGGAAUAUUGGUCAAUGGGCGAGAGCCUGAACCAGCCAAGUAGCGUGAGGAAGACUGCCUAUGGGUUGUAAAUUCUUUUGUUUGGGAAUAUGUACCAUUCGAAUAAGCAUCGGCUAAUUCCGUGCCAGCAGCCGCGGUAAUACGGAAGAUGCGAGCGUUAUCCGGAUUUAUUGGGUUUAAAGGGAGCGUAGGCGGCUGUAAGUCAGCGGUCAAAUGUCAGGGCCCAACUUGGCAUGCCGUUGAAACUGCGGUCUUGAGUUACACAAGGAAGGUGGAAUUUGUCGUGUAGCGGUGAAAUGCUUAGAUAUGACGAAGAACUCCGAUUGCGAAGGCAGCCUUCUGGGGUUUACUGACGCUGAGGCUCGAAGCGCGGGUAUCAAACAGGAUU